rnacentral:rRNA from 1 species
UACGAAGGGGGCUAGCGUUGCUCGGAAUUACUGGGCGUAAGGCGCACGUAGGCGGCUCUUUAAGUCGGGGGUGAAAUCCUGGAGCUCAACUCCAGAACUGCCUUCGAUACUGAAGAGCUCGAGUCCGGGAGAGGUGAGUGGAACUGCGAGUGUAGAGGUGAAAUUCGUAGAUAUUCGCAAGAACACCAGUGGCGAAGGCGGCUCACUGGCCCGGUACUGACGCUGAGGUGCGAAAGCGUGGGGAGCAAACAGG